rnacentral:rRNA from 1 species
AAAGAAACCAACAGGGAUUGCCUCAGUAACGGCGAGUGAAGCGGCAACAGCUCAAAUUUGAAAUCUGGCCCUCUCAGGGUCCGAGUUGUAAUUUGGAGAAGAUGCUUCGGGUGUGGCCCCGGUCUAAGUUCCUUGGAACAGGACGUCACAGAGGGUGAGAAUCCCGUACGUGGCCGGUGGCCGCGCCCAUGUGAAGCUCUUUCGACGAGUCGAGUUGUUUGGGAAUGCAGCUCAAAAUGGGUGGUAUAUUUCAUCUAAAGCUAAAUAUUGGCCAGAGACCGAUAGCGCACAAGUAGAGUGAUCGAAAGAUGAAAAGCACUUUGGAAAGAGAGUUAAACAGUACGUGAAAUUGUUGAAAGGGAAGCGCUUGCAACCAGACUUGCGCGCGGCCGAUCAUCCGGUGCUCGCACCGGUGCACUCGACCGCGCGCAGGCCAGCAUCGGUUUGGGCGGUUGGAUAAAGGCCCCAGGAAUGUGGCUCUCUUCGGGGAGUGUUAUAGCCUGGGGCGCAAUGCAGCCCGCCCGGACCGAGGACCGCGCUUCGGCUAGGAUGCUGGCGU